rnacentral:rRNA from 1 species
UUCCGGUUGAUCCUGCCGGACCCGACUGCUAUCAGAGUGGGACUAAGCCAUGCGAGUCGACGUAGCAAUGCGUGGCGAACGGCUCAGUAACACGUAGUCAACAUGCCCAGGGGACGUGGAUAACCUCGGGAAACUGAGAAUAAACCACGAUAGGUCACGAUUUCUGGAAUGGAUCAUGGCCUAAAUCUACAUGGCCCCUGGAUUGGACUGCGGCCGAUCAGGCUGUUGGUGAGGUAAUGGCCCACCAAACCUAUAACCGGUACGGGCUCUGAGAGGAGAAGCCCGGAGAUGGGCACUGAGACAAGGGCCCAGGCCCUAUGGGGCGCAGCAGGCGCGAAACCUCUGCAAUAGGCGAAAGCCUGACAGGGUUACUCUGAGUGAUUUCCGCUAAGGGGAUCUUUUGGCACCUCUAAAAAUGGUGCAGAAUAAGGGGUGGGCAAGUCUGGUGUCAGCCGCCGCGGUAAUACCAGCACCCCGAGUGGUCGGGACGAUUAUUGGGCCUAAAGCAUCCGUAGCCGGUUCUGCAAGUCUUCCGUUAAAUCCAGCCGCUCAACGGAUGGGCCGCGGAGGAUACUACAGGACUAGGAGGCGGGAGAGGCAAGCGGUACUCAGUGGGUAGGGGUAAAAUCCUUUGAUCCAUUGAAGACCACCAGUGGCGAAGGCGGCUUGCCAGAACGCGCUCGACGGUGAGGGAUGAAAGCUGGGGGAGCAAACCGGAUUAGAUACCCGGGUAGUCCCAGCUGUAAACGAUGCAGACUCGGUGAUGGGCUAGCCUUGUGCCAGCCCAGUGCCGCAGGGAAGCCGUUAAGUCUGCCGCCUGGGGAGUACGGUCGCAAGACUGAAACUUAAAGGAAUUGGCGGGGGAGCA